rnacentral:lncRNA from 1 species
AGCUGCUUUGUGCCUCCUGGAGACCGGGAGAGGAAGGUUUAUGCCCUGGCAGGACAAGAAGUUCCCUGCACUGGCCCCAUAAUCCUUCCGGCAUGUGAUGGGAGGGAAGGGGAGUGUGUGUGGUGGGGCAUAUCUUAGCUGUUCUUGUUCUUGCCUAGCAAAUCCAGCCUGGGUAUGUCUGUGGAGCUCCUUGCUGAGAGCUCUCCCCUCCUUGGACAGUGCCUGGUGGCUUCUGGUGAGGAAGCAAAUUCCCACCACUGAGGAAUUAAAUACUUCAAAGCACUAAAAAGCAGAGGGAUCAUAUCUGUGUUCUCCAUGCUCUCGGUGGCAAAACAAAGCAAGGUGGAUAAGCCUUGCUGUCAGAGUCCAGAGGCUGGAAGUGAUGGUGGCUGCAGCCUGGCCCUGGCUUUAGCUGUGAGUACAUGUAUGGUAAGCUUCUGUGUGAAUGCAAGAAGGAAAUGAGAGGGAAUUAUGUGGGCAGGUGGAAUGAACAAAUUGGUGUUGGUGGAGGCAGGACAUGUGUGUGGGACUAAGGGGUUGGAAAGCGUAAAAAAAAUGGGAAGCUUCUCAGAGGAAAGCAACUGAGCAUCUGAGAACAGAAAAAACUAAUAACUUAGAGAAUUAAGAAAAUGUUUUUAUUUUCAACUGAGUUAGAGUAAAGUUCAUUCACAAAUAUGAAUCUUAACUUCUGUACCCCGGUUUCCCUCUCCAUAAAAUAUAAAUAAUAGCACUUUCGUUACUCACAGGAUGGUGUGAAAACAAGUUCAUUCAUUUCUGGGAAGCAUUUGUGCUAUAUGGGAAGUAUAGCAAAGGCUAUGAAUAUACAGCUAAAGCUGUGGGCUGGCAUUGAGGCACUUGGCACCUCCCCAGAUAUGCCAUGUAUCGUGCAAAAGCGCCAAGAAGAGUAGGAUAUGAAAACACAGGCCAAACUUAAUGAGUUCUGAAAUCAGGAACAUGUGACUCCCCAAAAUUAGAAGUGCAAAAGCUUUGAACUCUCAGAAAACACUGAGAGUUCUCCACACUUCUCAGAACACGGAGAGGGGCAUAUGUUUUCUUUAAAAAAAAAAAGGCAAUAAAGAGGUAGGAUACAGCAGGGAAACACUCUAAGAUAUAGUCCAUGGAAAUCAAGAAAUCUGUAUGCCAUUAAGAUAUAGUUCUACUUGGAAUAGGGAUGACCACUGUGAUUGACUGGAAGAAACAAAAUGAGCAAUAAAGAGAGAAGAAUAUGGGACCUAUAAAUCAGCAGGGUCAGUGCUGCAGGAACAGGUAGAAGAGCUGAUUGUGUGAGAAUGCAAGAAAAUGAUCCAAAAGGCUGAGACAGAAAAAUGAGAAGGGAAGAAUAUGUGGCCAUUAUAAAAUUUUUUUAUAAAUUUGGUGUGUAAGAAGCUGCAGGUGAGCUGAGGAUGUAGCCAUCAUCUUCCUGAGCAACAAGGUGACUACGUUGACUAAAAGGGGGAUCUUGCCUGGAAAAUGAAUUACAACUUGUACCUCAGUCUUCAGCAGGGAGACAUGUGAAGUCUGUCACACUUUCUAGAUGUUUUCCAAGAACAGGAAAAAAACUCAUAAAAAAUCAUUAACUCUAAGGGUACGAUAGAGUCAAACAAUUUACUAAACCCACCUAGAUAAAGAACAAUUUAAAAAGUGGGUUGUUUACAGCCCAGAUUUAUCCUAAAAAAUAAAUGUUAAAGGAAUAAAAUCAUCCAGGAAACUUAGCUGCUAUGAGAGAGAUACCAGAGGAGUUAAGAGGAGACAUUGCUGCAUCCCAGAUUUUUAAAGGGAAAUAAUAGAGGAAGAAGGGUCUAUCAGCUUCAGGAAGCACUUAAGACAGCUGAUUAUCAUUACUAGACUAGAUAAAACUGGACACCAAUUCUUCAUUAAAUAGAAGAAGGAAAAAUGGGGUUAAGAGGAAUAAAACAUUUAUUUUAGUAUCCUCAGAUUUCAAGAGUACAAGGAUUCAGUGCUCUGUGGGACACCACUGAGUAAGAUGGGAGAUAUGGGAUGGAGUUUCUUGAUACUGGGCUUGAUCAUCUAAUCCAGGUGAUGAAUAUGUAGCAAUUAUUUAGAGUAGGAGUGGAUAAUUGAGUGACAUGCUUAAAUAUUGAACUCAGUUGAUAGUGUACAUCUGUCACUUGGAAGAAAGAGCUCAAGGAAGCAAAGACAUCAAAGAAGGAGGCAUAAGGGAGAGCAAAGAGGAAGAAGGCUUUUGGAAGCAGGUAAUGUUUGUGCUGGUAUAUGGAAUUUAACCUGAAAAAAUGUAAGGCUGGGAAAAAGAAAGUCAAGGUAAAGGUGCCUUAAGGAGAUAGCUGGGGCAAGUCAGCAUAGGAAAAAUAUCUGAGGAUAGCAGCCAAGUUUCUGUUUGCACUCCUUUUUAAGGUUCAGGGAAUGAAAGAACUAGGCGUGAAUGUUGCAACA